UACGGAGGGGGCUAGCGUUGUUCGGAAUUACUGGGCGUAAAGCGCGUGUAGGCUGCCCCCGCAAGUCGGAUGUGAAAGCCCUGGGCUCAACCUAGGAAGUGCAUUCGAAAACUGCGGGGGCUGGAGCCUGGAGAGGAAGGCGGAAUUCUCGGUGUAGAGGUGAAAUUCGUAGAUAUCGGGAGGAACACCGGUGGCGAAGGCGGCGAUCUGGGGUCGAUACUGACGGCUGAGGUGCGAAAAGCGUGGGGAGCAAACAGG
rnacentral:rRNA from 1 species